GGUCUGGUGGUGUAGUUGGUUAUCACGUCAGUCUAACACCUCGAGCGUUCUACGACGCCUCGCCUGUUCACUGAAGGUCUCCGGUUCAAGUCCGGGCUAGAUCA